rnacentral:lncRNA from 11 species
AACUCCCUUGGAAGACGGUGGGCUCUUUCAAGCAGAUGGCCACUUGCCUUGCAUGCCUUGGCUGAGAAUUCCUGCACUGCCCGACAGAAACUGUCUUUGGUUCAGCAAACCCAGCUGCGCCUUUUGUUUCGGCGUGACACCAUCCUCCAUGUCUCAGGCUUCGCAAUCAGAUCCUUCGGAGCCGGUGACUUGUUUGCGACAAUACCGAGGGAAAUAGAGAUCGGCCGGCUAGCAAAUGCAAAAGCCAGGAUCUGGCCGGAGGAAUCUUUGACAAAUGGCUGCAGUUCAAUAAAGUAAGAUUUGCUGAGGCCUGUUAGCAC